UACGUAGGUGGCAAGCGUUGUUCGGAAUUAUUGGGCGUAAAGCGCACGUAGGCGGUUCGUUAAGUCGGAUGUGAAAGCCCUCGGCUCAACUGAGGAAGUGCACCCGAAACUGGCGAGCUUGAGUACGAAAGAGGAUCGCGGAAUUCCCGGUGUAGAGGUGAAAUUCGUAGAUAUCGGGAGGAACACCGGUGGCGAAGGCGGCGAUCUGGGUCGAUACUGACGCUGAGGUGCGAAAGCGUGGGGAGCAAACGGG
rnacentral:rRNA from 1 species